rnacentral:rRNA from 1 species
UACGUAGGCAGCGAGCGUUGUUCGGAGUUACUGGGCGUAAAGCGUGCGCAGGCGGUUCGUUGUGUCCGUCGUGAAAGCCCCGGGCUUAACCUGGGAACUGCGAUGGAAACUAGCGAGCUGGAGUGUGGCAGAGGGGGGUGGAAUUCCGCGUGUAGCAGUGAAAUGCGUAGAGAUGCGGAGGAACACCGAUGGCGAAGGCAGCCCCCUGGGCUAACACUGACGCUGAGACGACGAAGCGUGGGGAGCGAACAGG